rnacentral:rRNA from 1 species
UGCAACCUGAGCUCAGGCGUGAUUACCCGCUGAACUUAAGCAUAUCAUUUA